rnacentral:tRNA from 1 species
GCCUCCGUAGCUCAGGGGAUAGAGCGUCGGUUUCCGGUACCGAAGGUCAGGGGUUCGAAUCCCUUCGGGGGCACCA